UCGAUAGUCUUGCUUUGCGCGAGGACUGCCGUAACCGAAGCAAAUGUAAGCAAGUGUGAGCAAAGGUAAUAUUGACUGCUUUCACGAGCCUCACGGGCGAGACGCAAUUGCUUUAACCAGCACCACCGGCGUAGUGUUGUCCCAUCGUGUCUGGUGUGGCGUGGCGGUAGGUGGCUGCGGAAAGGGAGCGUGAUGGAGAGGUACCGGAGGAAGGGAGAGAUUUGACAGAAGCUGAGAGCGUUCUCGUUUUCUCGCUCGUCGUCUGCUGGGCGCGACCGGCGCGGCUACGAAAAACACGGCACUUACCGCCGCCACCGAACAUUGAACGACGCUGCAAGGUUACUAGGACUUCGCUUCAAAAGGACGUUUCGGAAAUAGCCGGAGACUGUGCCGGUCCGAAAGAAAUAGAAGACGGCUGUUGCUCUGAGGCUGGCUGCUCAGAGAAUGGUUGCCAGACAAGGCUACCUCUCGUUCGACUUCGCUUAAGGGUCUCCCUUGCUGUGUGCCUGGACUCGCCUCCCCUCAGCUGUGACCGGCUGGGCGCGUCGUCACACGGAGCGGUCGGAGCAGUUGCUGACACGGCGCCCUGUAUGGAGGCUCGGAGUGCUCGAACCCGCGGUGGUCGUCCGGCGCGCGAUUAAAGCGUGCGCGCUGCAAGCGGACUGCCGUAGUCAGCCUCGGCCCAAUCCGCACGGGGAAGGUGGACGCACCGCAUAAGGGAACGCCCCAAGGCUCGGUGAUCCUAGUUUUCAACGUCGCCAUGCGAAGUCUACAACCAAUCCUAGAAAGGAUCGCAGGAAACAAGCACGCCCUAUACGCCAAUGCAGGCGAUGCAUGCAUACGUUGGCCAGAUAUGCUGCACCUUUGCGCCUGGAUGACCACGUACGAGGCAACAUUGACCAAAUGCGGCACCUGAAAAGGAUAUCUCAGCCAAGCAUUCGUCACUGUACGUGUAACCAUACCCAGCGUACAAUAAAAGCUCUGCAAAA